AAUAGGCUACUCAAUAGCAAUACUAUCAUAUAGCCAGCUCUCCCCAAGUAGGCAGUUUUAGCGAGUAGCCUAGGCCUGGUGCAAGCAUUUCCAAAGAAGGUGUGCAAAACGGGCCCACACACUUCCUCUGAAGACAAACUGUUUCUCGGUUUCUGUUUUAAAGUUUGUUUCCUGUGAACUGUUUUACGAGAAUUAAAUUGACAAACCUAACUGGUUUCCUGUGGCAGCGGCUUUCUUCCUGCUUGUCGGUGUCAACGUGCGGUUAAAUAAUGAAUAUACUGCUAACUGAGAAAACUUUGGAAUAAUCACCUACAUCAUAUUUUGUGAUGUGACAGAGUGAGGAAGUGAUGCUGUCCUAUCUC